AGUGAACGCUGGCGGUAGGCCUAACACAUGCAAGUCGAACGGCAGCACAGUAAGAGCUUGCUCUUACGGGUGGCAAAUGGCGGACGGGUGAGGAAUACAUCGGAAUCUACUUUUUCGUGGGGGAUAACGUAGGGAAACUUACGCUAAUACCGCAUACGACCUACGGGUGAAAGCAGGGGAUCUUCGGACCUUGCGCGAUUGAAUGAGCCGAUGUCGGAUUAGCUAGUUGGCGGGGUAAAGGCCCACCAAGGCGACGAUCCGUAGCUGGUCUGAGAGGAUGAUCAGCCACACUGGAACUGAGACACGGUCCAGACUCCUACGGGAGGCAGCAGUGGGGAAUAUUGGACAAUGGGCGCAAGCCUGAUCCAGCCAUACCGCGUGGGUGAAGAAGGCCUUCGGGUUGUAAAGCCCUUUUGUUGGGAAAGAAAAGCAGCAGGCUAAUACCCCGCUGUUCUGACGGUACCCAAAGAAUAAGCACCGGCUAACUUCGUG
rnacentral:rRNA from 1 species